rnacentral:rRNA from 1 species
AAGACCUUGCGCUUUUGGAGCGGCCGAUGUCUGAUUAGCUAGUUGGUAGGGUAAUGGCCUACCAAAGCUUCGAUCAGUAGCUGGUCUGAGAGGACGACCAGCCACACUGGGACUGAGACACGGCCCAGACUCCUACGGGAGGCAGCAGUGGGGAAUUUUGGACAAUGGGCGCAAGCCUGAUCCAGCCAUGCCGCGUGAGUGAAGAAGGCCUUCGGGUUGUAAAGCUCUUUCAGCCGGGAAGAAAGGGCUACGACGAAUAAUCGUAGCUCAUGACGGUACUGGAAGAAGAAGCACCGGCUAACUACGUGCCAGCAGCCGCGGUAAUACGUAGGGUGCGAGCGUUAAUCGGAAUUACUGGGCGUAAAGGGUGCGCAGGCGGUUUUGUAAGUCAGAUGUGAAAUCCCCGGGCUUAACCUGGGAACU